AUUGAACGCUGGCGGAAUACUUUACACAUGCAAGUCGAACGAUGAACCUUAGCUUGCUAAGGGGAUUAGUGGCGAACGGGUGAGUAAUAUAUCGGAACGUGCCUUGUAAUGGGGGAUAACUAGUCGAAAGAUUAGCUAAUACCGCAUACGCUCUGAGGGGGAAAGUAGGGGAUCUUCGGACCUAACGUUAUAAGAGCGGCCGAUAUCUGAUUAGCUAGUUGGUGGGGUAAUGGCCUACCAAGGCGACGAUCAGUAGCUGGUCUGAGAGGACGACCAGCCACACUUGAACUGAGACACGGUCCAGACUCCUACGGGAGGCAGCAGUGAGGAAUUUUGGACAAUGGGCGCAAGCCUGAUCCAGCCAUUCCGGGUGAGUGAAGAAGGCCUUCGGGUUGUAAAGCUCUUUCGCAAGGGAAGAAAACUUACCAUCGAAUAAAUGGUGAGGCUGACGGUACCUUGAUAAGAAGCACCGGCUAACUACGUG
rnacentral:rRNA from 1 species